UUAAGUCCCCUUUGUCAAACCCAACGGUCCACACAUUAAAAGAAAGACAAGGCUCAUCUCAUUUCUUAUUCACACUUUCUCAAAGAAACUAGAACAAUCAAGAAACUCCCUCCCUCUCAUGGCUAUGGGUCCAACACCAAAAAGAAAGAAAACUCUCUCAAGCUCUCUACCUCUCAUACUUUUGGGUCCAGCCACUAGGGAAGGUAAAUCCUUUCAUGCAAGAGUGAUUUAUUUCUAUUUUCCCCUCAAGAACCAUAAAUUUGGUGUUACCAGUUCCCUAGGUCUAAGCUCCUUCGACUCUAGGCUCUCGGUUCCUCUGUUUUUAGUUAACAGGUUUUAUUUUGGAGCAGAGGAAGCCUUAGUCGAGUUUUGGAAGGAGCUAGUUUUAGUUUAAAUGUAUAGAUCCCAAAUUUGUAUCUGAUGUUUAGUUUUGUGGUAUUGUGUAUUUUAGGAUCUAAUGAAAGUUAUGUAUCUUAAAGUAUUAAGAGAUGUAUUAUGUGAAAUUCUAAAUUUGAAUAACUAGUGAAUUAUGUCAA